GAUUAUGGCUCAGAACGAACGCUGGUGGCGUGUCUUAUACAUGCAAGUCGAGCGAGGCAGCAAUGCCGAGCGGCGAACGGGUGAGUAACGCGUAAGCAAUCUGCCCCAUAUCAGGAAAUACCCGUGCCAACGCGCGGUUAAUGUCCAGGAGAGUGGCUCCUUGCAUGAGGAGUUGACUAGAGAUUUAUCGGUAUGGGAUGAGCUUGCGUCCGAUUAGCUAGUUGGCGGGGCAACGGCCCACCAAGGCGACGAUCGGUAGCCGGCCUGAGAGGGUGAUCGGCCACAUUGGGACUGAGAUACGGCCCAGACUCCUACGGGAGGCAGCAGUAGGGAAUAUUGCACAAUGGGGGAAACCCUGAUGCAGCAACGCCACGUGUGGGAAGAAGCAUUUCGGUGUGUAAACCACUGUCAUGAGGGAAUAAGGCCCUUAUUCGUAAGGGAUUGAAUGUACCUUGAGAGGAAGCACCGGCAAACUUCGUGCCAGCCGCAGC
rnacentral:rRNA from 1 species